CUGAACGAGUACGAACGGACCACGAAGCCUCCGCUAGCGGGUGACGCCUCCGAUGCGUUAAACACAGUCAGCGGUCCCAACAAUAACAACGGCGACGUACCGCCAAAGUUUCCCAAACGACCCACGGAGUUGGAGCAGCUGAAACAUGCGACGGAUCUGCUAGAGUCCGUCGGAGCCACCAUCGUGUCCCCCCUCGCCGGCAGUCCGCCCCACCAGCUCGUCGGCCACCAUGUCCUUCUCCCAGCGGCCUCGCCCCUCAGCUCGCACCACCAGCAGCAGCUGCUGCGGGAGCAGCUGGAUCAGCAGCAGCAGCAGACGCAGGUCGCGAUCGCGCAGGUGCACCUCUUGCGGAAUCAGCUGGCGGUGGAGACGGGCGCCCGCAUAGAGG